UGGGGAAUAUUGCACAAUGGGCGCAAGCCUGAUGCAGCAACGCCGCGUGAGGGAUGACGGCCUUCGGGUUGUAAAACCUCUUUUAGUAGGGAAGAAGCGAAAGUGACGGUACCUGCAGAAAAAAGCACCGGCUAACUACGUGCCAGCAGCCGCGGUAAUACGUAGGGUGCGAGCGUUGUCCGGAAUUAUUGGGCGUAAAGAGCUCGUAGGCGGUCUGUCGCGUCUGCUGUGAAAACCCGAGGCUCAACCUCGGGCCUGCAGUGGGUACGGGCAGACUAGAGUGCGGUAGGGGAGAAUGGAAUUCCUGGUGUAGCGGUGGAAUGCGCAGAUAUCAGGAGGAACACCGAUGGCGAAGGCAGUUCUCUGGGCCGUAACUGACGCUGAGGAGCGAAAGCGUGGGGAGCGAACAGGAUUAGAUACCCUGGUAGUCCACGCCGUAAACGUUGGGCGCUAGAUGUGGGGACCAUUCCACGGUUUCCGUGUCGCAGCUAACGCAUUAAGCGCCCCGCCUGGGGAGUACGGCCGCAA
rnacentral:rRNA from 1 species